GAUGAACGCUGGCGGCGUGCCUAAUACAUGCAAGUCGAGCGAACAGACGAGGAGCUUGCUCCUCUGACGUUAGCGGCGCACGUGAGAGUAACACGUGUAUAACCUACCUAUAAGACUGGUAUAACUUCGGGAAACCGGAGCUAAUACCGGAUAAUAUCUUGAACCGCAUGGUUCAUUAGUGAAAGACGGUUUUUGUGUAUCUUAUCGCUGGAUCCGCGCCGCAUUAGCUAGUUGGUAAGGUAACGGCUUACCAAGGCAACGAGGCGUAGGCGAGCGGUGGGAGUGAUCGGCCACACUGGAACUGAGACACGGUCCAGAGUACUACGGGAGGCAGCAGUAGGGAAUCUUCCGCAGUGGGCGAGAGCCUGACGGAGCGAGGCCGCGUGAGUGAUGAAGGUCUUCGGAUCGUAAAACUCUGUUAUUAGGUAAGAACAAAUGUGUAAGUAACUAUGCACGGCUUGACGGUACCUAAUCAGAAAGCCACGGCUAACUACGUG
rnacentral:rRNA from 1 species